ensembl:snRNA U6 U6 spliceosomal RNA
GUGCUCAGUUUGGAAGCACAUAUACUAAAAUUGUAACAAUACAGAGAAGAUCAGCAAGGCUCCUGCGCAAGGAUGACACACAAAUUCAAGAAGCAUUCCAUAUUGAA